CCUGGUUCCCAACUUUUAAAAUACACAUUUAAAUCUUUAAACUUACUACUUACUAAUUUACUAAUUGUAUCACGUGAGAUCCAAAUCACAGUUGUUGAGGCAUUUUACUAUGCAGCAGGGGAUUGGACAGAAUGGAGACACGAGCUCCCCUGCCUCCGAACCCGGCUCCUCUGAACCUCCUUGCUUCCUGCCUACCGGCUACCUCCUCUGGUUGUGUUGAAACUAUCGAGCACACGAGCUCAACAGUUGGUUCUCAUGGACAAAUCGAGAGCCACGGACGAGGAGCUCGCCAUCGAUGUGAACACUGACAAGUCCGCCUCCUUCCCCUUCCUCCAAAAUCCGGAAGCCAUGGCUGUCGCAGUGCUGACCUUCUCGUCCCGCCCGCCGCCGCUCCGGCUCGUCGUCGAGCGCCCGUGCGCUGCCCCGCGGACCCGCCUCGCCUCCCGCCGCGACCCGCGACCCCGGUGGAGCGGCGCGGCCCGCGCCAGGGGAAUGCGGCGCUCGGCCGCAUCGAGCAGCACCGCGUUCCCCUGGCCUCGUCUACUUCGCCGGCGAGGACAGGGUGUACUCCAUUGACCUCUUCUACCAGCUCCGCAGCGUAAGAUUGAAUGAAAUUUCCUCCUCGACUUUGUCGCCGUCCUCUUCCUGCUCGUGCACCACCACGCUGCUCCAGGAUGUGGGGUCAUGUACCCAUGACCUCGCCUCCCACCACGACGUGCCCGACACGCCUGAUGGAGCUAUGCGGCCUACCCCAGAGGAACGCCGCGCUUGACCGCAUCCCCGGCCCCGCCCCCAUCUACUUCGCCAAAAAGGACAACGUGUACUCCCUUGACCUCUUCUACCAGCUCCUCAUGAAUUUUCUUUCCUUUUCCCCCAAGGAUGCUAUAAUUCUCACAAUUUUGCAUAUAUUCGUUUGAAAUUACAGUCAAUUUAGUUUGCAUACUAUAGUUCCUUGUAGAAAAAUUUCAGGUAACCUGCUUAACUUACAUCCCUGUCGAAAAAUUUCAUAGUUGGAAUGGAAUAAUUGGCCAGUUUUGUUGAUUAGUCCAGCCUGUCUGCAUUCUCUACUUAUUAGCGCUGCUAGUGACAUUAAACCAGCACCGCGUGCCCAUUCGUCUCCUGCGUGUGGCCCGUCGUCUACAAGUCCUUCACAGCUCGCCAGCGUAUUUGACAAGCAAAUAGCAAUAGAUAACCACUGUAUUAAAUAUGGGCAAGAUCGGAAAUAGGCACACUAAUAAAUCACUCCAUGAUACGUACGCGAGAUAAUGUCUAAAACAUCCAGAAUUUCAGAAAAAAGAGGGAGCACUGUGGAUCCAUUUUUUUUCCAAUGCAUGGUUGUAUGCGUGUUUACUUGCACAGAAAGUGAGCUUGGUGUAAAAAAAAUCUUCAAUCAUUUGGUCAUUAUUUAUAUUUGUUUCGGUUCUAAUCAAAGGUUGAGACUUUUUACCAUGUAAGCAAAAUGAUUGGAGGAGCCCUAAUAGCAUCCCCAAAUAGAGCUGACAUAGCUAGAUGAGGAAGAAUAUUUUUCUGACGUCAUGACGUCAUGAUGAUUGAUUUCAAUGAUUCUAGCUCCUAAUGCUAAGCUGCUAACUCCCUAUGACGUGUCACUUCCUUGUAGGAUCGUUACUACCAGACCUGCAAAUGAUGGACUAUUGUGACCAUGGUAGAAUGUAUAACAUGCACUUUCUGAAGAUAAUCUCCAGUGAACUCAAGCGGAAGUCCAAGAUUUUAAGCAGGAAACAAGUCCCGGAUUGCAAGCUGAAGAAUUUAGCGUAUAGAGCUCCAUGCUCCAGUCCUUUAUUUAUCCUUGUUGAAGCUGAAGUCCUUGAAUUCUGAGCAGAAGACAAGCCCCAAACUGCAAGCUGAAGAAUUUGUAGCAUUUGGAGCUCCGUGCUCCAGCUUUCUAUCCUUUUUUUUUUCUUUUGAACUAUGAUGUGUUUGAGUUCGUUUCUGCUCCAGCACCAGGGAAGCGGAGCUACCACUUUCAUUUCAUGAUGUGUUUCUUUACAUAACCGCAGAUGAUACUUGCCAUAGAAUCGAACAGUCCAGCAUACUCAUGUGUUUCGUUGUUUAAGCUGCUGCUUGAAAUGCACGGGAAUUGCUGAA